rnacentral:rRNA from 1 species
UAGGGAAUCUUCCGCAAUGGACGCAAGUCUGACGGAGCAACGCCGCGUGAGUGAAGAAGGAUUUCGGUUCGUAAAACUCUGUUGUUAGAGAAGAACAGCGCAUAGAGUAACUGUUAUGCGUGUGACGGUAUCUAACCAGAAAGCCACGGCUAACUACGUGCCAGCAGCCGCGGUAAUACGUAGGUGGCAAGCGUUGUCCGGAUUUAUUGGGCGUAAAGCGAGCGCAGGCGGUCAAUUAAGUCUGAUGUGAAAGCCCCCGGCUCAACCGGGGAGGGUCAAGGGAAACUGGUUGACUUGAGUGCAGAAGAGGAGAGUGGAAUUCCAUGUGUAGCGGUGAAAUGCGUAGAUAUAUGGAGGAACACCAGUGGCGAAGGCGACUCUCUGGUCUGUAACUGACGCUGAGGCUCGAAAGCGUGGGUAGCAAACAGG